rnacentral:rRNA from 1 species
UACGGGGGGGAGCAAGCGUUGUUCGGAUUUACUGGGCGUAAAGGGCGCGUAGGCGGCCACCGCAAGUCGACUGUGAAAUCUCCGGGCUUAACCCGGAAAGGUCAGCCGAUACUGCGGGGGCUAGAGUGCAGAAGGGGGCAACUGGAAUUCUCGGUGUAGCGGUGAAAAUGCGUAGAUAUCGAGAGGAACACCGGUGGCAAGGCGGCUUCCUGGACCGACACUGACGUGAGGCGCGAAAAGCUAGGGGGGAGCAAAACGGGG